GUUGAUAGGCCGGGUGUGUAAGCGCAGCGAUGCGUUGAGCUAACCGGUACUAAUGAACCGUGAGGCUUAACCUUA
rnacentral:rRNA from 1 species